GUGCCAUUAUUAUAACUAUAAUAAAAUAAUUGGUAUUAAUAUUUUCAGAACUAAAAUAAGUUUUAAAAUGUAUUUCCAAUCAAAGUAGAAUUCUACAUUGUCUGCAGUUUGAAGUGUUAACAUUUCCUGCUACACAAUAAUUUUGAUAAUUCUGCUCCAGCUCUUUUUGUUUAUUCCAUGCAGUGAGGUGAUUGGAAAUCUUUCUGAUCAAAUCUUUCUACCAAUUAUUAUAUAUAUAACAUCUUGAAUUUUCUUGAUGGAAGA